rnacentral:rRNA from 1 species
UACGGGGGGAGCAAGCGUUGUUCGGAUUUACUGGGCGUAAAGAGCGCGCAGGCGGUCGUUCAAGUCGCGUGUGAAAGCCCCCGGCUCAACUGGGGAGGGUCACGCGAUACUGAUCGACUCGAAGGCAGGAGAGGGUAGUGGAAUUCCCGGUGUAGUGGUGAAAUGCGUAGAUAUCGGGAGGAACACCAGUGGCGAAGGCGACUACCUGGCCUGUUCUUGACGCUGAGGCGCGAAAAGCUAGGGGAGCAAACGGGG